CCUACGGGUGGCAGCAGUGGGGGAUAUUGCACAAUGGGGGGAACCCUGAUGCAGCGACGCCGCGUGGGUGAAGGAGUGCUUCGGCAUGUAAAGCCCUAUCGGCAGGGAAGAAGCAAAACGGUACCUGACUAAGAAGCCCCGCCUAACUACGUGCCAGCAGCCGCGGUAAUACGUAGGGGGCGGCCGUUAUCCGGAUUCCCUGGGUGUAAAGGGAGCGUAGACGGCCAUCCAAGCCAGGGGUGAAAGCCCGGGGCCCAACCCCGGGACUGCCCUUGGAACUGUGCGGCUAGAGUGUGGGAGGGGCAGGCGGAAUUCCUGGUGUAGCGGUGAAAUGCGUAGAUAUCAGGAGGAACACCAGCGGCGAAGGCGGCCUGCUGGACCGCGACUGACGUUGAGGCUCGAAAGCGUGGGGAGCGAACAGGAUUAGAUACCCGAGUAGUC
rnacentral:rRNA from 1 species